AACGCUAGCUACAGGCUUAACACAUGCAAGUCGAGGGGCAGCAUUGGAGUAGCAAUACUUCAGAUGGCGACCGGCGCACGGGUGAGUAACACGUAUCCAACCUGCCGCUUACUCGGGGAUAGCCUUUCGAAAGAAAGAUUAAUACCCGAUGGUAUAAAGAGUUCGCAUGUUCUCUUUAUUAAAGAAUUUCGGUAAGCGAUGGGGAUGCGUUCCAUUAGAUAGUUGGCGGGGUAACGGCCCACCAAGUCUACGAUGGAUAGGGGUUCUGAGAGGAAGGUCCCCCACAUUGGAACUGAGACACGGUCCAAACUCCUACGGGAGGCAGCAGUGAGGAAUAUUGGUCAAUGGGCGCGAGCCUGAACCAGCCAAGUAGCGUGAAGGAUGAAGGUCCUACGGAUUGUAAACUUCUUUUAUAAGGGAAUAAAGUCACCUACGUGUAGGUGUUUGUAUGUACCUUAUGAAUAAGCAUCGGCUAACUCCGUGCCAGCAGCCGCGGUAAUACGGAGGAUGCGAGCGUUAUCCGGAUUUAUUGGGUUUAAAGGGAGCGUAGACGGGUCGUUAAGUCAGCUGUGAAAGUUUGAGGCUCAACCUUAAAAUUGCAGUUGAUACUGGCGUCCUUGAGUACGGUUGAGGCAGGCGGAAUUCGUGGUGUAGCGGUGAAAUGCUUAGAUAUCACGAAGAACUCCGAUUG
rnacentral:rRNA from 1 species